AGCGCUGCGUUAGGGGCGAGUGCAACCGAACAUUACGGCAAGUUACGAUGGGAACUUCUUUCCGUGCUACGUGAUUGCGACGACAAGAACGGCCAGCAGUAGCGUGUCGCCGAUUUCGUCUUGGCCGACAUCGAACAAGUGUAGCUCGCCGGACCGUGGCUAGCACCCGAAGUGUUGCGGUCUGCACUGCGUCGUCUUUCAUUGUGAUGUGAGAGAUCGUAACGCAUAGAGACUGCCGGAUGUAUACGAAAGCCUACCAGCAGGGAGUGACUGUGCCAUUUUUCUCUUAACGUCUCAGGUAUUGAAGAAGCGGCAACAGCCACAGAAAGUAGCCAUCUUAUCCAGCACGUUAUGGGUAGAACUUGGCGGCUCCUGCUCCUGCCUUCCACCACCACCCUGUCCCGACUGCUUCCACUAGAGAGUUGGCAACCUUAGUGAUGAUGCCAAGCAGCCCGAUGGCAGACGGCAAGAUGCAG